CGGCACGAGGGCGUGGAGAGCGUCGUCGUCGACUGCGAGUCGGCGCGCUUCCGCCUCGGGCUCGCCGCCCGUCUCGCCGA
rnacentral:tRNA from 1 species